ACAACGAACCGUGUGCAGUAGA
rnacentral:miRNA from 1 species